rnacentral:rRNA from 1 species
AGCAUGCUAGUCGCGCGGGUUUAGACCCGCGGCAUAUAGCUCAGUAACACGUGGCCAAACUACCCUAUGGACAGGGACAACCUCGGGAAACUGAGGCUAAUCCCUGAUAGAGCUCUCACGCUGGAGUGCCGAGAGCUUGAAACGCUCAGGCGCCAUAGGAUGUGGCUGCGGCCGAUUAGGUAGAUGGUGGGGUAAUGGCCCACCAUGCCGAUAAUCGGUACAGGUUGUGAGAGCAAGAGCCUGGAGACGGUAUCUGAGACAAGAUACCGGGCCCUACGGGGCGCAGCAGGCGCGAAACCUUUACACUGCACGACAGUGCGAUAAGGGGACUCCGAGUGCGAGGGCAUAUAGUCCUCGCUUUUCUGUACCGUAGGGAGGUACAGGAACAAGUGCUGGGCAAGACCGGUGCCAGCCGCCGCGGUAAUACCGGCAGCACGAGUGAUGACCGAUAUUAUUGGGCCUAAAGCGUCCGUAGCUGGCCAGGCAAGUCCGUUGGGAAAUCGACGCGCUCAACGCGUUGGCGUCCAGCGGAAACUGUUUGGCUUGGGGCCAGAAGACCUGGGGGGUACGUCCGGGGUAGGAGUGAAAUCCUGUAAUCCUGGACGGACCACCGAUGGGGAAACCACCUCAGGAGGAUGGACCCGACAGUGAGGGACGAAAGCUAGGGUCUCGAACCGGAUUAGAUACCCGGGUAGUCCUAGCUGUAAACGAUGCUCACUAGGUGUGCCGUAGCUACGAGCCUGCGCUGCGCCAUAGGGAAGCCGAGAAGUGAGCCGCCUGGGAAGUACGUCCGCAAGGAUGAAACUUAA